CCAAUCUUUAUAGAUCAGUGUUUGCUUCUCUUCAUCACCAAGGGAUCUUCUCUUUCUCUUUAGGUCCACCCCUGCCUUAUAUUUUGCUGAAAGACUAGUUGUUCAUUCCAAUUUCAAAAAUUAAUCUUUCAAGGGGAAUAAUGGCCAUGGGAAGUAUUUUUGCAACUGUGCCAGCUAUUGCUGCUGCUGCUGGAUUUUAUUUCAUAGGCAGAAACGACGUCAAGGAAAUCAAACAAGGGUCAUUAUCCAGUCAAAAGAUGCUAGCAGAAGUGAAAGAACGAGCAAAGAGCCUUCAAACACCGAAAUUGGCACCACAGUUUGAUGGUUUAGAUUGUUUCGAAACCUUGGUGAUGAAUUGAAUUUGCUUGGGAUGGAACUGUUUGUACCUUGUGCAGAAUGAAUGGUAGAUAUAUUUGUUAUAAUGUGAUUUCCUUCUAACAACUUCAUUAUUGUUUCAUAUCAAUUCCAUCUUCACUGGGUUUUGGCAA